AAGGACAGAGAUGACGAGCCAGUAUCGAAAUAGAAAAAAAAGGAGUUGAUGCGCGUUCUUCAAUUUCUAAAUUUACUAUGUCUGUGAGGAAGUAAUGAGAAAAUAAGUUGGAGAACUUUAGUUUUGUUGUUGGACUGCAAUGAUGAUCAUUCAUCUUCCUUUUGAAUAUGCCUGACCUUUUCAUUUGUUUUUCUUUGUUGCUUUAUUAUGCUUGUCUUCUUUCAUUUAUCUUUCACUGUUGCUUUAUUUUGAAUUUUGUGAAAUGAGGAUGCGAUGGAAUGAAUAGUUUCCCCUCCUCAUCUACAUUUCUUUGUAUUAUACCAAAUCAAGAUUUUUAUAUUAUAAAUCAGAAAUGGUUAUCUUGACUUGUUUGCUUUGCCUCCAGCACAAAUUCCAACUUUCUUCUCCUUUCCUCUUCAAAUUUCUUGCUUCUCUUUCUCCGAGAAUUUGAUCUCUUGUUUUCCCCUAACGCCGAUAAAGUUUAUGUGUUUUUUCCUUCACCUAAGAUGAUUCAGUUUUUUUCGCAACCAUACCAAAUUCUGGCACAAACACUGUAGCUUUCUUUGAGCAUGCCAAGCAUCAAGUUUCAUAUUCCACUUGAUUGUGAAUAAAUUUGCCAUCGUCUUGAGCUCAAUUAGCUAUGAUCCUGCAGGUCUAUAAUUGCAAAAAUAAAAGCAUCCUUUUCUUUUCUCAUAAACUUAUGUUAGGACCGUCGAUUUUUGCCCGAGUUACCUAUGUCCACAAAAAGAAUAACAAAGCUUGAGAUGUUUUUAGGAGCUGCGUUUUUCAAAUGGUAUUUUAUAUAUAUAAAAAAUGUUUUAAAUUUUUUAUAUAUAAUUUUUGGUUGUUUUUAUAUAUAAUUUUUGUUCGUUUUUAUUUAUUGAUAUAAAAAAUAAUUUAUAUAAAAUAAAAAAUAUAUAUUGUCUGCUACAUAAAUAAUAUAUAUUUCUAGAGUCAUGACAGUAGCAAACAAGAUGAGAGCCCAUGGAGAAGAGAUGAGAGAUGUGAAAAUUAUAGAGAAAAUUCUUCGCACCCUCACAGAAAAAUUCAACUAUAUUGUCUACUGCAUAGAAGAGUUAAAAGACAUUGACAGAUUUAUGUGGAUGAACUUCAAAGCUCAUUAAUUGUGCAUUAGCAGAAGUUUCAGAAAAAUCACGAUAAAGAACAAGUCUUGAAAGUUACCUUGUAAGAAGGAAAAGGCAGAAGACGAGGCAGGAUUACUUAUAAGGGUAAUGGAAGAGGAAGCGGUAGCAGUAGCAACAAUUUAAUUUCCCUCCUUUAUGACUUCUCCUUCCUUACUAUUGGUAAGCAUAUUAUAAAUGGUUAGGUCAUGCACAAUGCUACUUACUUUACAAGUUAAUUUCCUUUUUCUCUAAAUUACUGUAAAAAAUAUCUAUUUUGGUACGUACACAGGAAAACCUUGCAAACCCAUGAAAAGUAAAUAGAAUAUGAAUGUUAAAAAAAAAAAUAGUCAGACUAAGAUAUAUUUUCUUGCUUAAAGAGAUAAAAAAUAAUUAAAUUGUUUUUAUAAUAAAUUAGAUUGUUUUGAAAAAAUAAAUGAAUGAAAUUAAAUAAUGCAAUAACAAAAAAUUAAAGAACGAAAAUAAACCAAUUAGUCUAUUUACAUAACAACAGUGUUGUGUCCGAAACCAUAAUUUAAAAACAUGUUCCUGCACCAAACUUAGCAUUGAAGUCUUCCUUUGGUGCAUGCAUAGCCUUGAAGUCUUCCAGGCGCUUCCAUUAAAUCCUCAUGCACUGAAGCGUCCUGAUAGAGUCUUUUCCUCUCUAUAUAUUGAUACCUUCGCUUUCAAGUCGUCAACAAAAACAAAACGAACUUGUUAGUGAUCAUCAGAGUAGCCAACAAUGGCAGCCUCCAAAAUGAGCUUGAAGCUUCUUAUUGAUUCAAAACACAACAGAGUCGUCUUUGCUGAAGCAGGGAAAGACUUUGUGGAUUUCCUCCUUAGCCUGCUUGCUUUGCCUGUGGGUACCAUCAUUCGGCUCCUCACAAAAUCAACCAUGAUUGGCUGCAUAGCAAAUCUUUACGGGAGCCUUGAAAAGCUGGAUGAAUCGUACAUGCAGCCUAACCAAAACAAGGAUUCCAUUUUGAAACCAACUGUAACAACCCAGGUCACCAAUCCAAGUUUCUUGCUUCCUGACACUAAAAUGCCUGAAAACCGGAAGUUAUACUAUUGCUCAAACCAUCCAGGGUACGUUUCGGAUAUUCAAAACUCUGUUUGUAGUCAUUGCAGGUCACAAGGCUAUACUCGUUAUAUGAAUCAAGAAGUCAAGUUUGUUGCUACGAAUGUCUCCGCCUCCACAUAUACACCAGCUAGCGAUCAGGCCGGAGGUUACGUGAAGGGCCUGGUCACCUACAUGGUGACAAAUGAUUUGUCAGUGUCUCCAAUGUCAAUGGUGUCCGUUGUUGGUCUGCUAAACAAGAUCGAAAUCAAGGAUUUUAGUGUGCUUGAGGAGAAGGUUGUUGAAUUUGGGAUCGAUGAGGUACAGUGUUUUUUUAAUUUUAUUCUGUCUUGGAUUGUUCAAUUUUAACACGGUAGUUUUUGUUGUUGUCUAACGAUAGUAUAUACUACGUCCAUGCUGCUUUUUUUGUCCCUUGUUCUUUUAUACAUUUCAGGGUCUUGAAUUGUUGAAAGCUUCUCUUUUGUCGAAGGAUGCUCUCUCUGCUGUUUUCCUUCCAAAGCUGAAUUAAGGACAGAGAUGGUGAGCCAGUAUAAUCGAAUUAGAAAAAAAGGAGUUGAUGGGCGAUCUUCAAUUUCUAAAUUUACUGUGUUUGCUCGGCAGAAAUUAGAAAUUAAGUUGGGAGAAUUCUAAUUUUGUUUUUGGAAUGAAAUCGUGAUCAUCAUAUUGCAGUUGAAUAUGCUUGACUUCUUUAUCCUUUCAUUUUCGCUCUAUUUUGAUUGUUGAGAAAUGCUAAAUUUAUUUGUCUGGGCUUUUUUUAAUGUCAAAGAUUUUAAUUAUAAAUCAGAAAUUGUUAAUCCAAAGAAAAGAUAGUAGAGACUGAUUCCUUUCAGAUGUCUUGAAUCUGCUUUUGCGACAGAUUUUAGAACCGUCAAUUGCUUUUGAUACAAGGCAUUCGUUAAUUAUGCAACACAUAAAAAUCACUAAAUUUGUGGAAAAACAUAAAGAUCAAAACAAUUAGCAGUGUCAAAAAAAGCAAACUAGAAGUAAGCAGGCGCCACACGAGUGUCUUUAGAAAUAUGAUUAUGAUCGUUUUUUAAAAUAUGUUUUAAUGUAUAAAAAAACAUCUCGCGGGAUUGAGGACAAAUCUUUUCUACAGUUCGGUCUUAGCACCAGAAAUCAAAGAGUAGAUGCCUGUUCUCGAGGUAGAAAAUGCCCCAUUUAUGCUUAAUUCGAUAUUGUUUUGUUCUGCCUUGUGUCCCUUCUUUGUCCUCUUGCCAGAGAAGAGCUUGACUGUCACAUCUCUCUAUAGUUUCAAUGACCAAAAGAAUCAGAAAAAUCAUCACUGUGCAAUUAAUGACAAGCAUGAAGCUAACCUCCCUUCAAUCAUAUUUCAUCUUCCCCUUGCAUAAGGCUCCGUCUAGCAAGUAUCAUGCUGUAUAUAUAGACAGCUCCACAAGGUAGUGGGACGUAAUAUAUUUGUCAAGAGGAGUAUGAAUCACUGAAGCAUCAAAGAAUUCGUGGAUAUCCUUCUUACUUGCUUUGCCUCCUGAGAAAUUCUACCUUGAAUGGCUGCAAUUGGAAAUCUGAAUGGGAGCAUUGAAACCUUUUUCCAUGUAAAGUAGAACUUGAUGAAAAUGUCAAUUUCAAAGACGCUUUUCAAUUGCUUCGUAAUCUGCUAAUUUUAAUGCAUUUUGCUGUAGAAUGCGGAAAACUUCAAGGAUGAAAAUAAGUGGAAAAACCAGGUAACUUUUUCUACGAAAUAAAUGGAAGUAAAAACUAUACUCUUCGUGGAAAACAGAUGCCCACAAUUUCCAAACCCAAGCUUAGUGGCUUAAUUAGACUUUAUUAUCAUUUCAUAUUUCCAAAUUUAGUCAGUACCAUAAUUUUAUUUUACCAGUAUCGUUCAUCGCAGUUAGUCAAAUACUAUAAAACUUAAAUAACUAAUAGCUGUUCGUGGGGAAUCGAACAACGGCUUGCAUGGAUGAACUAAAAUGUCUAUCAUGGGAAAUCCAGAACUUUCUUGCAUGGAUUCGACCUUCUUAUAAACUAUUUGUCAUCCCCGUGCAGUGAAAGCCUCCUGAUAGAAUCAUUUGAAGUUUUUAUUAUUAUGGAGUAAAAAGUUAUAAAUUUGAUUGUAUAAGUUUAAGUAAAGCUGAACAAAGUUUAUAUAAAAUUUUUAAAUUUUAAAUCAAUGUUUUUAAAUGUUAAAUUGAAAAAAAAAAAGAGUAAAAUUGCAAUGAUGUUGAAAUGAAAUAUGAUAGUGAAUGAUUUGAAAUAAAGCUUAAUUGAAAAGGAAAAUUGAGUGAUAAUUCUUGAAAGUCAAGAAAUGGCCAUCCUAAACAAAUGAUAGCUGCACGCCACGCGCUUAGCUUCUGCCAUGUUGAGCACCGUCCAUAAAAAAGGUUAAUGGCCACCGUUGGAUGUAGCCAUAAGAAACAAACACUUUAGGACAAGAAAAAAAAGGUCCCUCCUUUAUGACAUCUCCUUCCUUACUAUUGGUAAGCAUAUUAUAAUGGCGGGGUCAUGCAGAAUCCACUUUACAUGUUAAUUUCCUUUUUCUCAAAAUUACUGUAAAAAAACAUCUAUUUUGGUACGUACACAGGAAAACCUUGCAAACCCAUGAAAAGUAAAUAGAAUAUGUAUGUUAUAAUUUUGUUUCACAAUAUGUUUUUUUUUUAAAAAAGAAAAAUAGUCAGGCUAAGAUAUAUUUUCCUUAGUAUGCGACGCCAAUAAAUUUUGGUGCAGGGUCAACAAAAUUGGUGUUGGGUGAGCAAAAAAAUUAACCUGUAACCUAUUUUUCUUAGUUAGAUUAUGAACUUAUUUUUUUUAGUGAGCAACAUCAUUUUUUCAUAGAUCAACAUCGAGUUCUGUUAAAAAAACUAAGAAAAAAUACAUGUAAAAACCACGUGAUUUGCUUGCUUAAAGAGUAAAAAAUAAUUAAAUUGUUUUUAUAAUAAAUUAGAUUGUUUUGAAAAAAUAAAUGAAUGAAAUUAAAUAAUGCAAUGACAAAAAAUUAAAGGACGAAAAUAAACCCAACAAAUUCCACGUCUCAUUAGCAUCGACUUGACAAGAAGUUCUUAUCACUUUAACCAAUUAGCCUAUUUACAUAACAACAGUGUUGUGACCGAAACCAUAAUUUAAAAACAUGUUCCUGCACCAUACUUAGCAUUGAAACCUUCCAGGUGCUUAUCCUCUUGCACUGAAGCCUCCUGAUAGAGUCUUUUCCUCUCUAUUUAUUGAAACCUUAAUUUGCUUUCAAGUCGUCAACAAAAACAAAACCAGCUUGUUAGUGAUCAUUAAAGUAGCUAACAAUGGCAGCCUCCAAAAUGAGCUUGAAGCUUCUUAUUGAUUCAAAACACAACAGAGUCGUCUUUGCUGAAGCAGGGAAAGACUUUGUCGAUUUCCUCCUUAGCCUGCUUGCUUUGCCUCUGGGUACCGUCAUUCGGCUCCUCACAAAAUCAACAACGAUUGGCUGCAUAUCAAGUCUUUAUGGGAGCCUUGAAAAGCUGGAUGAAUCGUACCUGCAGCCUAACCUAAACAAGGAUUCCAUUUUGAAACCAACUAUAGCAACCCAGGUCACCAAUCGAAAUUUCUUGCUUCCUGACACUAAAAAGCCUGAAAACCGGAAGUUAUACUAUUGCCCAAGCCAUCCAGGGUACGUGUCAGAUAUUAAGAACUCUGUUUGUAGUAAUUGCAGGUCACAAGGCUUUGGCUUUGGUGCUCGUUCUAGUUAUAGUUCUAGUUCUACUGCUUCUUCUAGUUUUAGUUUUAGUCCUAGUUCUAGUUCUAGUGCUUGUUCUAGUUAUAUGAGUCAAGAAGUCAAGUUUGUUGGUACGAAUGUCUCCGCCUCCACAGAUACACCAGCUAGUGAUCAGGCCGGAGGUUACGUGAAGGGCCUGGUCAUGUACAUGGUGACAGAUGAUUUGUCAGUGUCUCCAUUGUCAAUGGUGUCCGUUGCUGGUCUGCUAAACAAGAUCGAAAUCAAGGAUUUUAGUCUGCUUCAGGAGAAGGUUGUUGAAUUUGGGAUCAAGGAGGUACUGCUUAUUUUGAACUCUGUCUUGUAUUGUUCAUUGUAGUUUUUUUUGUUGUCUAACGAUAGUUUAUAAUACGUCCAUGUGGCUUUCUCUGUGCCCGUUGUUCUUUUAUAAAUUUCAGGGUCUUGAAUUGUUGAAAGCUUCUCUUUUGUCGAAGGGUGCUCUCACUGCUGCUUUCCUUCCAAAGCUGAAUUAAGGACAGAGAUGGCGAGCCAGUAUAAUCAAAUUAGAAAAAAAGGAGUUGAUGCGCGUUCUUCAAUUUCUAAAUUUACUAUGUCUGUGAGGAAGUAAUUAGAAAAUAAGUUGGAGAACUUUAAUUUUGUUCUUGGACUGCAAUGAUGAUCAUUCGUCUUCCUUUUGAAUAUGCCUGACCUUUUCUUUGUUGCUUUAUUAUGCUUUUCUUCUUUCAUUUGUCUUUCACUGUUGCUUCAUUUUGAAUUUUGUGAAAUGAGAAUAAGAUGGAAUGAAUAGUUUCCCGUCCUCAUCUACAUUUCUUUGUAUUAUACCAAGUCAAAAUUUUUAUAUUAUAAAUCAGAAAUGGUUAUCUUGACUUGUUUGCUUUGCCUCAAGCACAAAUUCCAACUUUCUUCUCCUUUCCUCUUCAAAUUUCUUGUUUCUCUUUCUCCGAGAAUUUGAUCUCUUGUUUUCCCCUAACGCCGAUAAAGUGUGUGUUUCGGAGUGUGGUAGCGGUUGCUUUUAAAAUAGCUUUUUGUGCCGAAAUACAUGUCAAUGAUGUUUUUUCAUUUUUAAAAAAUUAUUUUUGACAUCAGCACAUCAAAAGGAUCCAAAAAAUACAAACCGCACUUAAUUUUAACAAAAAAAAAAUUCAAAAUUUUGACAAACACAGUUCAAACUCACCGCCAAAUCGUCUCUUUAAGUUUAUGUGUUUUUUCUUCCUUCACCUAAGUUUUUUUCGCAACCAUACCAAAUUCUGGCACAAACACUGUAGCUUUCUUUGAGCUUGCCAAGCAUCAAGUUUCACAAGGCCCUUUCAUAUUCCACUUGAUUGUGAAUAAAUUUGCCAUCUUCUUGAGCUCAAUUAGCUAUGAUCAUGCAGGUCUAUAAUUGCAAAAAUAAAAGCAUCCUUUUCUUUUCUCAUAAACUUAUGUUAGGACCGUCGAUUUUUGCCCGAGUUACCUAUGUCCACAAAAAGAAUAACAAAGCUUGAGAUGUUUUUUGGAGCUGCGUUUUUUCAAAUGGUAUUUUAUAUAUAUAAAAAAUGUUUUAAAUUUUUUAUAUAUAAUUUUUGGUUGUUUUUAUUUAUUGAUAUAAAAAAUAAUUUAUAUAAAAUAAAAAAUAUAUAUUAUGUGCUGCAUAAAAUAUAUAUUUCUAGAGUCAUGACGAUAACAAACAAGAUGAGAGCUCAUGGAAAAGAGAUGGGAAAUGUGAAAAUUAUAGAGAAAAUUCUUCGCACCCUCACAGAAAAAUUCAACUAUAUUGUCUGCUGCAUAGAAGAGUCAAAAGACAUUGACAAACUUUACGUGGAUGAACUUCAAAGCUCAUUAAUUGUGCAUGAGCAGAAGUUUCAGAAAAAUCAUGGUGAAGAACAAGUCUUGAAAGUUACCUUGGAAGAAGGAAAAGGCAGAGGACGAGGCAGGAUUACUUAUAAGGGUAGUGGAAGAGGAAGGGGCAGCAGUAGCAACAAUUUCAACAAAGCCACAGUUGAAUGCUAUCGAUGCCAUAGACUAGUCAUUUCCAGUAUGAGUGCCCUUCUUGGAACAAAGAAGUUAACUAUGCCAAGGAUAUUGACGAGGAAGAGGAGAUGUUAUUAAUGUUCUAUGUAGAAAAAGACAAAGCUAAAGGAAGAGAUACAUGGUUCCUUGAUUCAGGAUGCUCAAACCACAUGUGUGGAGAUAGAACCAUGUUCAGUUGGCUUGAUGAAAGUUUUCGGCAACUGGUAAGGUUAGGAAACAACACCAGAAUGAAUGUGAUGCGUAAAGGAAGUGUAAAGCUGUAUUUGAAUGGAAUAAACCUUACUGUGACUAAAGUAUAUUAUGUUCCUGAACUUAUUUUUUUUUGUUUAGAUGGUAAGAUAUGAUUUGUUCAUACUUAUUAUGCUUGUUGAAAUUAAUUUUGAUUGAGCUUCCUGGGGUGCCGGCUGUUAAAACUAGCCAUCCUUCUUUUACACCGACUGCUGGCACUCGGAUCGGGUGAGCAGACGCAUCUCAUCCAGGCAUAUGGAAUAGAGGUUAUGCAGGGUAAGUUGCUUGGAGGAGUAGCAAUCAUGGCCUUGAUCAACCACAUACUGCUUUUGCAUUUGCUUUGAUAAAUUAGUGGUGUUGACCUGGUGCCGUUUCGAUUAGGAAAUGCUGUUCUGAUGAAAACUCUGUGGAUAAGAUAAGCAACCAAAUAAUUAAGCCAUUGUCUUUGUAGUUAUCUGAUCAUUUGUCAACAAAACUUGUGAUAUUAAUCUUGUGCAAGCUGAUAAAGACCCAUGAUUAAGGUUCUGUUUGUUUUCCUGAUGGAUUGAUAGGGACUUUCAUCUCAUUUGUUCAUUUAGCCGUCUUCUUUGCCAUUACCCUUGGAGCUCGCAGAAAAUCACCCGAACCAGUUCUCGUUAAUAUCAUCAGGAAAAAACAGAGAAAAAACAGAGAAAUGAGAAGAAAUACGAGCUUAACUCAGACAGGCCAUAGUUUUUGCUGCGAAGGUCCAUGUUUUGGACAUGUGAUGUGGCCUUUUUGAUAGAUAAAAUGGACAAAAAUCCAAAAAUUGAAGGAUGUUUCAGUCCGCAAAGUUGAAUAAGAUGAAACUCGACUCUGAGUUUUUCAAUUAUGAGAAGGCACAAAGUAUAUUUACAGAAAGUACGAGGCACCCUCAAGCAUCGUCAACUUACAAAAAAUUAAAAAUUAAAAGAGCUCAGCUAUUUACCGUGUAUUGUUACAGAAACUAAGAGGCACUGUCAAGCAUCGUCAAAUGUUUACAUUUUUAUUUAUUUUAUAAAAAAUUAACCCAGCACACAGCAUAACGCGGUCACUUCUCUGGAACGAUACUAUUAUCAAUUGGAAUGUGUCUCUGUAGCAAUAAACAAGAGAUAAAUGAUGGAUACCUAGUGCCGAUUCCCGCCUCUUGUAGUGGUAUGGUAUCAUGAUUAUCAUUAUGAGUAUGAUUGGUAGGGUUUAGUAAUUAUUUUUAAAUAGUUUUUUGUAUUGAAAUAUAUGUUAAUAAUAUUUUUUUAUUUUUUAAAAAUUAUUUUUGAUAUUAGCACAUCAAAAUGAUCCAAAAAAUACAAAUUAUAUUAAAUUUUAAUUAAAAAAUUAAAAUUUUAAAAAUACGAUUUGUACCACGUUUCCAAACAAUUUCUGUAUUUUUGCAGAUUCAUACGGACAUGUUUUUUUUUUUUUUUUAUAUAUAUACUGAAGAGGCAGAUGCAUACCUACCCACAUGGAAUUUCAUGCUAUGGUUCACGUCUAUUCAUAUUUUGGAGUGGUUGUAUAGUUGCAGGUCGAGCAGGUAAAGGGUUUUAAGAAUGAGAAAAUAAUUUUCGAUGGAUAUAAGAAACAGUUAGCAAGUUUCGUUGGAUAGAAGAAUUAGAAAAAAAAAUUAAAAAUAGAUGUGUUUUAAGAAUGAGAAAAUAACUUUGGAAUUAAAAUGAAAAUGAGAAAUAAAAGUUGAGAAAGAACUUGUGAAAAAUUGUUAGCAAAAACAUCAGUUAAAAAUAAAAAAACAUUACCAUGAAACUGUAAUAAAUCUGUAAAUAAAAUAAAUGAUGAAAAAAUAUAUAUUUUUUUUGACAUAAAAAAAUAUUUUUGAGGACUUGCUAAAAUAACUUAUAUGGUUUUAGCGAUGCUUGAAUAAGAAAAUUUGGAUUUUAAUAUAAAAUCAUUUACUGACUAGUUUAUGUUAUUGAACAUAACUUUAAAUUUAACCUUUGAAUUAGUUUGAAAUUUUACAAAGAACCUCAUAACACAUUGCUUUAUAAUCGAAGUUUUGAAAAGCCAUUUAAGAAUAUUAAUAGUCGUGCAAAAAAUAACAUUUAGGUCAUUAAGUUUUUGUAAAUAAACUGGAAAAAUUAACUUUGACAGAUUAAUAUUUAAUUUUUUGUUAUAGGGUAAAAAAUUAUAAAUUUAAUUAUACAAGUUUAAGUAAAGAUUAACAAAGUUUAUAUAAAUUUUUAAAUUUUAAAUCAAUGUUUUUAAAUAUUAAAUUAAAAAAAGAGAGUAAAAUUAUGAUGAUUUUGAGAUGAAAUAUGAUGUAAAUGAUUUGAAAUAAAGCAUAAUUGAAAAGGAAAAUUGAGUGAUAAUUCUUAAAAGUUAAAGAGCAAGAAAUGGCCAUCCUAAACAAAUGAUAGCUGCUCGCCACGCACUUGGCUUCUGCCAUGUUCAGCACCGUCCAUGAAAAAGGUUAAUGGCCACCGUUGGAUGUAACCAUAAGAAACAAACACUUUAGGACUAGAAAAAAAAAGAUCCCUCCUUUAUGACAUCUCCUUCCUUACUAUUGGUAAGCAUAUUAUAAAUGGUUAGGUCAUGCACAAUGCUACUUACUUUACAAGUUAAUUUCCUUUUUCUCAAAAUUACUGUAAAAAAUAUCUAUUUUGGUACGUACACAGGAAAACCUUGCAAACCCAUGAAAAGUAAAUGGAAUAUGAAUGUUAAAAAAAAAAUUAGUCAGGCUAAGAUAUAUUUUCUUGCUUAAAGAGAUAAAAAAUAAUUAAAUUGUUUUUAUAAUAAAUUAGAUUGUUUUGAAAAAAUAAAUGAAUGAAAUUAAAUAAUGCAAUAACAAAAAAUUAAAGGGCGAAAAUAAACCAAUUAGUCUAUUUACAUAACAACAGUGUUGUGUCCGAAACCAUAAUUUAAAAACAUGUUCCUGCACCAUACUUAGCAUUGAAGUCUUCUUUUGGUGCAUGCUUAGCCUUGAAGUCUUCCAGGCGCUUCCAUUAAAUCCUCAUGCACUGAAGCCUCCUGAUAGAGUCUUUUCCUCUCUAUAUAUUGAAACCUUUGCUUUCAAGUCGCCAACAAAAACAAAACCAACUUGUUAGUGAUCAUCAAAGUAGCUAACAAUGUCAUCCUCCAAAAUGAGCUUGAAGCUUCUUAUUGAUUCAAAACACAACAGAGUCGCCUUUGCUGAAGCAGGGAAAGACUUUGUAGAUUUCCUCCUUAGCCUGCUUGCUUUGCCUGUGGGUACCGUCAUUCGGCUCCUCACAAAAUCAACCAUGAUUGGCUGCAUAGCAAAUCUUUACGAGAGCCUUGAAAAGCUGGAUGAAUCGUACAUGCAGCCUAACCAAAACAAGGAUUCCAUUUUGAAACCAACUGUAACAACCCAGGUCACCAAUCCAAGUUUCUUGCUUCCUGACACUAAAAAGCCUGAAAACCGGAAGUUAUACUAUUGCACAAGCCAUCCAGGGUACGUGUCAGAUAUUCAAAACUCUAUUUGUAGUCAUUGCAGGUCACAAGGCUAUAAUCGUUAUAUGAGUCAAGAAGUCAAGUUUGUUGCUACGAAUGUCUCCGCCUCCACAGAUACACCAGCUAGUGAUCAGGCCGGAGGUUACGUGAAGGGCCUGGUCACCUACAUGGUGACAUGAUUUGUCAGUGUCUCCAAUGUCAAUGGUGUCCGUUGUUGGUCUGCUAAACAAGAUCGAAAUCAAGGAUUUUAGUGUGCUUGAGGAGAAGGUUGUUGAAUUUGGGAUCGACGAGGUACAGUGUUUUUUAAAUUUUAUUCUGUCUUGCAUUGUUCAAUUUUAACACGGUAGUUUUUGUUGUUGUCUAACGAUAGUUUAUACUACGUCUAUGUGGCUCUCUGUGCCCUUGUUCUUAUAUAAAUUUCAGGGUCUUGAAUUGUUGAAAGCUUCUCUUUUGUCGAAGGAUGCUCUCACUGCUGUUUUCCUUCCAAAGCUGAAUUAAGGACAGAGAUGGCGAGCCAGUAUCGAAUUAGAAAAAAAAGUUGAUGUGCGUUCUUCAAUUUCUAAAUUUACUGUGUUUGCUUGGCAGAAAUUAGAAAUUAAGUUGGGAGAAUUCUAAUUUUGUUUUUAGAAUGAAAUCGUGAUCAUCAUAUUGCAGUUGAAUAUGCUUGACUUCUUUAUCCUUUCAUUUUCGCUCUAUUUUGAUUGUUGAGAAAUGCUAAAUUUAUUUGUCUGGGCUUUUUUUAAUGUCAAAGAUUUUAAUUAUAAAUCAGAAAUUGUUAAUCCAAAGAAAAGAUAGCAGAUACUGAUUCCUUUCAGAUGUCUUGAAUCUGCUUUUGCGACAGAUUUUAGAAGGCAUUCGUUAAUUAUGCAACACAUAAAAAUCACUAAAUUUGUGGAAAAACAUAAAGAUCAAAACAAUUAGCAGUGUCAAAAAAAGCAAACUAGAAGUAAGCAGGCGCCACACGAGUGUCUUUAGAAAUAUGAUUAUGAUCGUUUUUUAAAAUAUGUUUUAAUGUAUAAAAAAACAUCUCGCGGGAUUGAGGACAAAUCUUUUCUACAGUUCGGUCUUAGCACCAGAAAUCAAAGAGUAGAUGCCUGUUCUCGAGGUAGAAAAUGCCCCAUUUAUGCUUAAUUCGAUAUUGUUUUGUUCUGCCUUGUGUCCCUUCUUUGUCCUCUUGCCAGAGAAGAGCUUGACUGUCACAUCUGUCUAUAGUUUCAAUGACCAAAAGAAUCAGAAAAAUCAUCACUGUGCAAUUAAUGAAUUCGUGGAUAUCCUUCCUACUUGCUUUGCCUCCUGAGAAAUUCUACCCUGAAUGGCUGCAUUAAUUGGAAAUAUGAAUGGGAGCAUUGAAACCUUUUUCCAUGUAAAAAAAAAAUGAUGGUCGGGUUCGGUCUUGUUUGGUGUAGGACUUGCUAGUUUAGCUAGUAGUUUCUCAUUAGUCAGAGAAUACUACUUUGUUCCGUGGUUUUUAACGCCUUUUGCUAUAUAAUGCAGAAAACUUGAGGGAUGGAAAUGAGUGGAAAAACUAGGUAGCUUUUUCUAUGAAAUAAACGGAACUCUUCCGGGACGUGGGGAAUCCGAAACAAUGGGACGCAUACAUGAACUUAAUAAAUGAUCUUAAUAAAUUAAUAGCGGAUCGUGGGGAAUCCAAAAAUGGGACGCAUGCAUGAACUUAAUAAAUGACUCUAUCAUGGGAAAUCCAAAACUAGCAGACCUUCUCUUCAACUAUUUCUCUUCCCCAUGCAGUGAAGCCUUCCGAUUGAAUCAUUUCCUCUAUAUAUAUAUGGAUAUUGGAUAUUGGAUAUUGGAUAUUGAUCAUCACUUCGCAUUCAAGUGGUCAAGAAACCUAAAGCCAACUUGGUAGCAAUGGCAGCCUCCAAAAUGAGCUUGAAGCUUCUCAUUGAUGCAAAGCGCAACAAAGUCGUCUUUGCGGAAGCAGGGAAAGACUUUGUAGAUUUCCUCCUUAGCCUGCUUGCUUUGCCUCUGGGUUCCGUCAUUCGGCUCCUCACAAAAUCAACAACGAUUGGCUGCAUAUCAAGUCUUUAUGGGAGCCUCGAAAAGCUGGAUGAAUCGUACCUGCAGCCUAACCAAAACAAGGAUUCCAUUUUGGAACCAACUAUAACAACCCAGGUCACCGAUCCAAAUUUCUUGCUUCCUGACACUAAAAUGCCUGAAAACCGGAAGUUAUACUAUUGCCAAUACCAUCCAGGGUACGUGUCAGAUAUUCACAACUCUGUUUGUAGUCAUUGCAGAUCUGAAUGCUAUGGUACUAGUUAUAUGAAUCAAGAAGUCAAGUUCGUUGGCACGAAUGUCUCCGCCUCCUCAGAUAUUCACAACUCUGUUUUUAGUCAUCGCAAAGUACAUCGUCGAAAGUCAUCACGAAUGUCUCGUCGUUAUCGAUAUCUCAGUAAAGAAGUGGAGUUUGCUGCCACGAAUGAUUCCACUUCCACAGAUACGCCAACUAGUGACCAGGGAGGUUACGUGAAGGGCCUGGUCACUUACAUGGUGACAAAUGAUUUGUCAGUGUCUCCAAUGUCAAUGGUGUCCGUUGUUGGUCUGCUAAACAAGAUCGAAAUCAAGGAUUUUAGUGUGCUUGAGGAGAAUGUUGUUGAAUUUGAGAUCGAUGAGGUACAGUGUUUUUUAAAUUUUAUUCUGUCUUGAAUUGUUCAAUUUUAACACCGUAGUUUUUGUUGUUGUCUAACGAUAGUGUAUACUACGUCCAUGUGGCUUUCUCUGUGCCCUUUGUUCUUUUAUAAAUUUCAGGGUCUUGAAUUGUUGAAAGCUUCUCUUUUGUCGAAGGAUGCUCUCACUGCUGCUUUCCUUCCAAAGCUGAAUUAAGGACAGAGAUGGCGAGCCAGUAUAAUCAAAUUAGAAAAAAAAGGAGUUGAUGCGCGUUCUUCAAUUUCUAAAUUUACUAUGUCUGUGAGGAAGUAUUAGAAAAUAAGUUGGAGAACUUUAAUUUUGUUCUUGGACUGCAAUGAUGAUCAUUCGUCUUCCUUUUGAAUAUGCCUGACCUUUUCUUUGUUGCUUUAUUAUGCUUUUCUCCUUUCAUUUGUCUUUCACUGUUGCUUUAUUUUGAAUUUUGUGAAAUGAGAAUGCGAUGGAAUGAAUAGUUUCCCGUCCUCAUCUACAUUUCUUUGUAUUAUACCACGUCAAAAUUUUUAUAUAAUAAAUCAGAAA
rnacentral:lncRNA from 1 species